rnacentral:lncRNA from 1 species
AUUUUGAAUGCUUGUUUUGUUGUCGUAGGGCUGGGAGGAGGACCUGCUGCCUGAGGAGAGGGAGGUUCCUCUGCUAAAGUGAGUUCCUCUAAAUGUCUGUGUAGUCUGAGCUUGUCAAAUGCUGAAGGAUAGUGGUCAUAAUGCUGUUAUCCCCCAUUGACUCUAAUGGUUGACAUGCUUCAUUCCCUCCCUUUCACAGCCUCUACCUUACCACCAAGAGAGUGGAGGACAUCGCCCUGAGGCUCGUCUCCUUGCGCCAGGCCUUCACUGUGCGUGGACCCACUGUUCUUUUUGUCUCUGACUUCUUGUUCUGUCUCCAAGAGGAAGAUGUCUCACCCUAACUCUUCCCUCUUCCCUAGACCCUGCUUGGUUCCACCCUGAGCAGGAACCAUCUGUUUGUGGCGGGAAAGGUCCUCCUGGGCGGCCUUGUUCAGGCCAACCACAUGGUAACUCACUAACUCAUUCUCUUUCAAGGGAAAGAGAGCGUCCCUGAGGGGAAAUGUGUUCUGUUCACUAAGAUGCUCUUUUCUUUGUCAUAGGACGAGGCCAAAUUCAUCAGUACCUAUAAUGACUUUGGACUACCUGAGUGACCCCUCCAAGCGGAAUGACAUUGAGAGGGAGCUGGCUGAGGCAAAGGUGAGUUCAUUAACUCUUUCAAGUCUCACUGAGUUCUUCCACAUGCAUGUCUUUUAUACAUCACAGUAGCUGAUAUUUAUGAAAUCAUUCCCAUUUUCUCCAAACGUGUUUUCUUGUCCUAGAUCCAUCAUGUGAACAUGAUAGAUGUCCUCUUUGAGCUGGUGCUGUUUGGGAUGAUGACAGCUCAGAAGUCCCUGAUGGUGCACCCUGGUGGGUUCGUGGAGCGUCUGUAUGCUCUCCUGUACUCCUUCCUGCCCACUGCUGCCAACAUGGAGCCAGAGGCUGAUAGAAUCCUACUGCUGCUCAAUGUAAGAGUCAAGAGGUUACUUCCUGUUUACUUCCAUAUUCUUAGUGUACUUCCUUUUGACUUCCUUAUUCAUGGUUAACCAGGUUUCAAUGCCAUUUUAGGGGGAGUAUUUCUAAUUGUCUCUCUCCUCUUGAUAAGCUAGUACCUCAGAGCCAUUUUCUAUGUGUUGUGUGGUGUUCUCUUCAGGGCGGACUGAUGGCUCUGCUAGAUGACAUGUUUGGCCAGCAGCUGGCCUGGUACUUUAACCCAGAGUCUCUGGUCACUGAGCUCUCCAGCCUCCUGGAGUACCACUUGGAGAACCUCAUGGCCAGCAUGUAGUCCUACUGCAGGGACCAUACUCCUUUCUCCUUCUCUCUCUCUUUUGAAGGAAUUGAGGACUUGAAGUGCUUUGUUGAACCCUGAUUAGUUAACACCCAUGAAUUUAAUGUAUUCUCUUGUUUUCUCUCUCCACAGGAUUCUUGUGACACUUUGCCACCCAACAGGGAUCUAGACACCAAUGCACUACAUUACUUUGCACUGAAUUUGACAUUUUAAAAUAAAAUAAGUUGUAGUUCAAA